GUGCCAGCAGCCGCGGUAAUACGUAGGUGGCAAGCGUUGUCCGGAAUUAUUGGGCGUAAAGCGCGCGCAGGUGGUCUCUUAAGUCUGAUGUGAAAGCCCCCGGCUCAACCGGGGAGGGUCAUUGGAAACCUGGGAGACUUGAGUGCAGGAGAGAAGAGUGGAAUUCCACGUGUAGCGGUGAAAUGCGUAGAGAUGUGGAGGAACACCAGUGGCGAAGGCGACUCUUUGGCCUGUAACUGACACUGAGGCGCGAAAGCGUGGGGAGCAAACAGGAUUAGAUACCCUGGUAGUCAAGGGCGAAUUCGUU
rnacentral:rRNA from 1 species